GACGAACGCUGGCGGCGUGCUUAACACAUGCAAGUCGAACGGAAAGGCCCUGCUUUUGUUGCGUUCUCGAUUGGCGAACGGGUGAGUAACACGUGAGUAACCUCCCCUUAACUUUCGGAUAACUUCAGGAAACUCGGGCUAAUACCGGAUAUGAUCUCCUGCUGCAUGGUGUUGGUUGGAAAGUUUCGGCGGUUGUGGAUGUACUCGCGGCUUAUCAGCUUGUUGGUGGGGUAGUGGCUUACCAAGGCUUUGACGGGUAGCCGGCCUGAGAGGGUGACCGGCGACAUGGGGACUGAGAUAAGGCCCAGAAGGCUACGGGAGGCAGCAGGGGGGAAUAUUGCACAAUGGGCGGAAGCCUGAUGCAGCAACGCCGCGUGCGGGAUGACGGCCUUCGGGUUGUAAAACGAUUUCGCAUGUGACGAAGCGUGAGUGACGGUAAUGGGUAAAGAAGCAACGGCUAACUACGUG
rnacentral:rRNA from 1 species